rnacentral:rRNA from 1 species
AGUGAACGCUGGCGGUAGGCCUAACACAUGCCAGUCGAACGGCAGCACAGUAAGAGCUUGCUCUUACGGGUGGCGAGUGGCGGACGGGUGAGGAAUACAUCGGAAUCUACUUUUUCGUGGGGGAUAACGUAGGGAAACUUACGCUAAUACCGCAUACGACCUACGGGUGAAAGCAGGGGAUCUUCUGACCUUGCGCGAUUGAAUGAGCCGAUGUCGGAUUAACUAGUUGGCGGGGUAAAGGCCCACCAAGGCGACGAUCCGUAGCUGGUCUGAGAGGAUGAUCAGCCACACUGGAACUGAGACACGGUCCAGACUCCUACGGGAGGCAGCAGUGGGGAAUAUUGGACAAUGGGCGCAAGCCUGAUCCAGCCAUACCGCGUGGGUGAAGAAGGCCUUCGGGUUGUAAAGCCCUUUUGUUGGGAAAGAAAAGCAGCAGGUUAAUACCCCGCUGUUCUGACGGUACCCAAAGAAUAAGCACCGGCUAACUUCGUG